rnacentral:rRNA from 1 species
ACUUGCCUCAUAGUAGCAAUAUUAUGAGGAGGGUGGCGCACGGGUGAGUAACACGUAGGUAAUCUACCUUCAGGACUGGGAUAAUGUCGAGAAAUCGGCACUAAUACCAGAUGAUGCAGCGGCUCCGCAUGGAGACAGUUGUUAAAGCUUCGGCGCCUGAAGAUGAGCCUGCGGUCCAUUAGGUAGUUGGUAGGGUAAAGGCCUACCAAGCCGACGAUGGAUAACUGGUCUGAGAGGAUGAUCAGCCACACUGGAACUGAGACACGGUCCAGACUCCUACGGGAGGCAGCAGUAAGGAAUAUUGGUCAAUGGGCCGAAAGGCUGAACCAGCAACGCCGCGUGGAGGAUGAAGGGCUUUUGCUUGUAAACUCCUUUCGGAGAGGAUAAAUACUCUGGUACGCCAAAGUUUGCUAUAACUCUCGGAAGAAGCCCCGGCUAACUACGUGCCAGCAGCCGCGGUAAUACGUAGGGGGCGAGCGUUGUCCGGAUUUACUGGGUGUAAAGGGUGCUCAGGCGGGUCUGUAAGUCAGGGGUGAAAUCCCAGAGCUUAACUCUGGAACUGCCUUUGAUACUGCAGAUCUCGAGUUUGGGAGAGGCGAGUGGAAUAUCUGGGUGGUAGCAGUGAAAUGCGUAGAUAUCAGAUAGAACACCAAUGGGCGAAAGCAGCUCGCUGGCCCAAUACUGACGCUAAAGCACGAAAGCGUGGGGAGCAAACAGGAUUAGAUACCCCUGAUAGUCCACGCCCUAAACGAUGGGUACUA